rnacentral:rRNA from 1 species
UACGGAGGGGGCGAGCGUUAUUCGGAAUUAUUGGGCGUAAAGGGCGCGUAGGCGGCUGUACAAGUCAAAGGUGAAAUCCCUCGGCUCAACUGAGGAGCUGCCGUUGAAACUGUACGGCUUGAGGCCGGGAGGGGGUAGCGGAAUUCCCAGUGUAGCGGUGAAAUGCGUAGAUACUGGGAGGAACACCAGUGGCGAAGGCGGCUACCUGGACCGGUUCUGACGCUGAGGCGCGAAAGCGUGGGUAGCAAACAGG